rnacentral:lncRNA from 1 species
GCUCUAGUAAUGUGUGCAUAUUUUCAAUGUACCCAUCUAGAUCAAAAUCAUCUACUCCAAAAGGAUCCCAACGUGUAUGCAGUAGGUCCUGAGAAAUUUUUUUAGGGAUAGCUUUUUCUAUUAUAUAUUUUAGGGAUGAAGCUAUAUGGUAGAUUUGGAUUGUUUUAAUUUUUUAUAUUUAUUUAUUUAAAGGAAGUGGGAGAGAAGAAGAAGAGAAGAGA